GACGAACCGUGCGAACGUUAUUCGGAAUUACUGGGCGUAAAGGGCUCGUAGGCGGCCAACUAAGUCAUACGUGAAAUCCCUCAGCUUAACUGGGGAACUGCGUGUGAUACUGGAUGGCUUGGAUUUGGGAGAGGGAUGCGGAAUUCCAGGUGUAGCGGUGAAAUGCGUAGAUAUCUGGAGGAACACCUGUGGCGAAGGCGGCCCCCUGGUUGGAUACUGACGCUGAUACGCGAAAGCGUGGGGAGCAAACAGG
rnacentral:rRNA from 1 species